rnacentral:ncRNA from 1 species
AAAUAAGCAAUGAAGAGAAGAGUAGGCAGAAAAGACUAUACCAGAAAGCUCCGGCAGAUGGAAAGGAGCAUAGGGAUAUUUGCUGAACAUGGCCUCUGAGCUGGGAUUGCUGAAUAAUGAAGCAUCCCGGGUGUGCCCGAUACAGCACUAAGGUAUUAAGGCAAAAGCCGGCGUACCUGAUGAGAUUCAUGCAGCGAUGUAUGGAUAAACUUGGGUGGUAACACGAAUCUUUCGUCCCUUUG